UACAGAGGUCCCAAGCGUUGUUCGGAUUCACUGGGCGUAAAGGGUGCGUAGGUGGCAGGGUAAGUUUGAUGUGAAAUCUCCGAGCUUAACCCGGGAACUGCGUGUGAUACUGGAUGGCUUGAAUUCGGGAGAGGGAUGCAGAAUUCCAGGUGUAGCGGUGAAAUGCGUAGAUAUCUGGAGGAAUACCGGUGGCGAAGGCGGCAUCCUGGACCGACAUUGACGCUGAACGGCGAAAGCUAGGGGAGCAAACGGG
rnacentral:rRNA from 1 species